rnacentral:rRNA from 1 species
ACGGGAGGCAGCAGUGGGGAAUAUUGCACAAUGGGGGAAACCCUGAUGCAGCGACGCCGCGUGAGUGAAGAAGUUAUUCGUAAUGUAAAGCUCUAUCAGCAGGGAAGAAAAUGACGGUACCUGACUAAGAAGCCCCGGCUAACUACGUGCCAGCAGCCGCGGUAAUACGUAGGUGGCAAGCGUUGUCCGGAUUUACUGGGUGUAAAGGGUGCGCAGGCGGGACUGCAAGUUGGAUGUGAAAUACCGAGGCUUAACCUCGGAGCUGCAUCCAAAACUGUAGUUCUUGAGUGAAGUAGAGGUAAGCGGAAUUCCGAGUGUAGCGGUGAAAUGCGUAGAUAUUCGGAGGAACACCAGUGGCGAAGGCGGCUUACUGGGCUUUAACUGACGCUGAGGCACGAAAGCAUGGGUAGCAAACAGGAUUAGAUACCCUGGUA